rnacentral:rRNA from 1 species
UACGAAGGGGGCUAGCGUUGCUCGGAAUUACUGGGCGUAAAGCGCACGUAGGCGGAUUGUUAAGUCGGGGGUGAAAUCCUGGAGCUCAACUCCAGAACUGCCUUCGAUACUGGCGAUCUCGAGUUCGGGAGAGGUGAGUGGAACUGCGAGUGUAGAGGUGAAAUUCGUAGAUAUUCGGAAGAACACCAGUGGCGAAGGCGACUCGCUGGACAAGUAUUGACGCUGAGGUGCGAAAGCGUGGGGAGCAAACAGG